rnacentral:rRNA from 1 species
UACGGAGGGAGCUAGCGUUGUUCGGAAUUACUGGGCGUAAAGCGCACGUAGGCGGCUUUGUAAGUUAGAGGUGAAAGCCUGGAGCUCAACUCCAGAACUGCCUUUAAAACUGCAUCGCUUGAAUCCAGGAGAGGUGAGUGGAAUUCCGAGUGUAGAGGUGAAAUUCGUAGAUAUUAGGAAGAACACCAGUGGCGAAGGCGGCUCACUGGUCCGGUACUGACGCUGAGGUGCGAAAGCGUGGGGAGCAAACAGG